ensembl:lncRNA
GUUGGUGUUAAAAUGUGGCAAAACUGAAAGAUGAGAAAGAGUGAGCAUCAAGAUUAAUAAGAAUAAUAUUUUUGGUUCCUCGAAGGACAUUAAGAUACAUUGUAGAAUGAGGGACAAGUUGUAAGAUGUUUUUGUAGAUGUUUUUCUUUCUUUUUUUGGGAGAUAAAAUAGUGGUUCUUAAGAUGCAAAAUGUUGCAAUAUGUAUUGUGUGUAGUAGUGGUAAUUACUGUUCAAGUGCUAGGUGUUCUGUAUGGUUUUCAGUGCUGAUUCAGUUAUUACAGAUUAUUAUUAGUUCUAGUUACUAGUCCUGGACCCUCAACUCUCUGAAUGACUGUGUUUCUAAGAUAUUAGUUGCUUGACAGCUUUGACACGACCAGCUGAGCUUCAUUUGCAACAUGGAAAACCCUCAGCCACUAGGUAUGCACCCUUCAGUCAAUGCAUGGGGUUUGCAGUGUUCUUCUGGGGUCAUUCAGAAACAAGGGCCUGAAUGUGAUUCUCUCUCUUGACAUGUAAAUAAAAUCUAUCAUCUUUUUGCCCAGGUAAGCAUAUUUACUGAGGUGUGAUUCUAAACUGAUUUGAAUAAAUGUAUGAAACUCAAUUUCACCUGACUGUUCGAGCACCUGCGGUUGAGUUAGUGAGUGACAUUAAGUCACUUUGUAACGCUGGGGCUAAGAAAUUCUUUAUAACUCUGGAUUCAAUUCAGCAUUUUCAAUAUGACACCAUAUGUGCUCUUUUGAAAUAGGCAAUUAUGUGUGCAGGUACUUCACAUUUAAUGAAACAUAGCCAAGAAACUGGAGCUAAUGAGAAGAAAUUCUCUUCCUUACAAUUUCAGACAGCGUCAGUGUACUGGAGUAUGUAACAGCUCAUAUAACAAUAUGUAUAUGUAAUUCUAAUUAUAGUAAAUA